GAUGAAGAACGCAGCGAAAUGCGAUAAGUAAUGUGAAUUGCAGAAUUCAGUGAAUCAUCGAAUCUUUGAACGCACAUUGCGCCCUCUGGUAUUCCGGGGGGCAUGCCUGUUCGAGCGUCAUUAUAACCACUCAAGCUCUCGCUUGGUAUUGGGGUUCGCGGUUUCGCGGCCUCUAAAAUCAGUGGCGGUGCCUGUCGGCUCUACGCGUAGUAAUACUUCUCGCGAUUGAGUUCGAUAGGUCUACUUGCCAGUAACCCCCAAUUUUUACAGGUUGACCUCGGAUCAGGUAGGGAUACCCGCUGAACUUAAGCAUAUCAAUAAGCGGAGGA
rnacentral:misc_RNA from 1 species